UAUAUAUAUAUUUAUAUAGGUUUUAUUUUUACAACACUUUUUUUUCAUAAAUAGAAAACACCCAAAGGAUAUUACAAUGAAUUGUGUGAUUAUCUAACAGAAAAAACAGAAAGGAUUUUAUGUCUAGUAAUGUAGAAAGAAGAAAAAAAAAAAAAAAAAAAAAUAUUGUUACAAAUAAAUGGUACACACAUGUAUAACACACAUGCACACGCAAUCCCAUAAAUACACACACUGUAUUGGUGUGCAUGUAUGUGUACAUAAUAUUUUUAUAUGUAAUUCAAUACAAACGCACAAUUGUUUGCAGGUAAAGGCAUAGUUAUGGUAGAAUUGUAAUCUCGGGGUGCAGCGUGCAAGACUAAAGUAGGCCAGCAGCACAAAUGGGCAAAUUGUAUUGAUUACUGAAUUUGGACACAAUUUGUCAGUGUAAGAGCAGAACGUGUUGGAAUUGAUUUUUGUUUGAUAGGUCAGAGACAGGGGAGGGCCGCUGGCCUGUGAUUGCAUAUCACGUGUCCAAUAAUGGCAUUCAUGUGUGCCCAGAACCACAGUAUAAGGAAUUAAUUCAGUCAACAAUGUUAAUCUGGCCUGAAUUUUGCAACCCUGUAGUCAACAUCAAUUCUUAGUGAAUAAAUCUCACUGGUGUAAAAUCGCAAUUGGAGAAGACAUAUAACUGAACGUAAAAGGGUAAACCGCUGAUAAAUGCCCACCUGUAGGACUUGGGAUCAAGGAGAGAACAUAAGAUCGCAAUCUUAGUAAAUUUCAUUUUUUUGGGGGAAACUUGAUAAAGGGAAUUACUCAUUUUAGGCCCAAAAUGGGAAAAUCUGAGAGAUUUUUCAAGAAACCUCCAUUGGCCUGACACUUGCAGUUCCCUCGUUGAUUCUCAAUAAUUUCUGCUUUAGUGAAUAAACAUUUUUGCCCUCGUUAUUUUUAUUAUAACUUCCAAUACUAGAGUGCGCACGCACAAUACAAACUCACUCAUAUUUCAAGAUAAACAUGUGUGGCCGUAUAUCAUGCAUUCUCACACACUUUCACUGUCAGAGGGCCGAGAAGACACUGGAGUUUAUUGCCGGAAUAAAUUAAUUUUACUGAAUGUAAAGCCAAAUUGCAAAAUUUAAGCAAAAGCAGCGCGGCUGCAGCCACAGGUUGGCCAGUUUUGCAAUUUGGUUUUUUUGAAUUCGUCACUAUUCGACAUUUAGUGAAAAAAAACACCUGUGCCUUAUCCUACUGGCACUGAAAAUGUAAAAGGGAAUAUAUAUCACCCCAUUCCAACUAAAUUAAAAAAAAAAAAAAUCAUUUACAUCUAAACAUAAUGUGAUGUAAAACCAAAAUGCUUUAAAGCAUAGAGCUGUAAAACCUCUUCUAAAAAUACUUCGUCGCAUGAAUAUGGCAAAAAUCGAACAGCAGACAUUCAUUCAAAGUGGGUGCUACAACCCAGGGAUAUUUCGCCUUGAAACUGAAUUUUCAACCAGUAUUAAUUCUCUAAACAGUUUAGUGAAUAAAGCUCAGUAAAAGUAACAAAUGGCGCUAGAUGUGGAUUUAAAGGGACAUUAUGGUCACCAAAUCAACUUUAGCUUAAUGAAGCAGUUUGAGUGAAUAAAUCAUGUCCUUGCAGCCUCGCUGCUCAAUUCUCUGCCAUUUAAGAGUUAAAUCACUUUGUUUCUGUUUAUGCAGCCCUAGCCGCACCUCCCCUGUCUGUGACUGACACAGUCUGUAUGAAAAGAAAAAAAAAGAAAGAAAAUGGUUUCAUUUUCAAUCAGAUGUUAACUUGCUUUGUAAGUUAUCUCCUGCUCUGUAACUUGAGCUUUAAUCACAUGCAGGAGUCUCCUGCAAAAUCUAUCAGGAUAUUAACAUAGCUGGAGAUUCUAGAUUCAAUAGAAUGUUCAAUAAAGGAAGUUUAAACAUUAGGUCUCUCUUAACAGGAAGUGUUUAGGAAGGCUGUGCAACUCACAUGCAGGGAGGUGUGGCUAGGGCUGCAUAAACUAAGUGAUUUAACUUCAAAAUGGCAGAAAAUUGAGCAGUGAGACUGCAGUGUCGUGAUCUAUACUUCAAAACUGCUUUAUUAAGCUAAAGUUGUUUUGAUCACUAUAGUGUUCCCUUUAAGCAGGGUUAUUCACUAAAGAAUUGUUGGGAAUUCAAAGUGAAUUCCAAACGUAAGGCCAUAAUAGCUGAUCUGGAAGCAUAGGUGACAAACAAUAGUUUCAGUUUAGCUAUUAUGGCCUUAAAUUUGAGAUUAAUUUCAAAUUCCCUUUUUAAUUCCAAGCUGUCAAUUUAGUGAAUGGAUUGUUUUGCCAAUAAAUAAAUGUAAAUACAAUCAUUACAACUAGACUAGUCAGUCUGCACAGGAACAAAGAAAAUUCUAAAGAGAAGAACAUGUAAAACCGACUUGCGUCAUGGUUCUUGGCGUUAAAGACAGUACUACUUUUUUAUGUUUAGAGUUUCUGAACGUAAAUGGGAGAGAAAUUAGGAUCUUCGUGCUUGCAAAUUCCUAAUUUAGGUGUUACAGUGUCCAGGGGUUUUGAGCAAACAUAGGAGAUUUUACAGCUGUGAAUGUAAAUUAUACAUUUUUCUUAUGAGGUGAUACUGUCCCUUUACAUCUGGCUGACUGUACACAUACAAAAUAAAAAAUAAAGUAAAUUGUUAAAACAACCAGUGGCUUGUACAACGUGUUUAGAAAAAAAAUAAAAAAUGAUGUAUACGAAUGAUGAAGAGACAUUUUGAUACACAGUGUCAGACCGGCUGCCUUGGAUCCUGCAGAUAGUUGCAUCUCUCUGUUGCUUGGAGGCUCUUCUGAUAAAUUGGGAUUAUCCUCUCCUUAUACAAUGCUUAAUUACGUGAAAGGAAGGCCAAACAUCAGCACUCCAACUGUGGGAGGCUUGCACUCCCAAGACACAGCCAGACACUACUCCACAACAGGAACUUGCAAGCACAAGGCAGCCACGGCUCAAGUGCCACAUGUUGCUUCUGGUCAAUGCUGAAUUUUGACCCCUAUUCCUAAACAGUUCUCCAACAAAGCAGGCUUUUAGAACUUUGGCCAAGCUGUGACCUUCUCCGGUAUUCAUCCUGUACUCAUGAAAAAAAAUGAUCUUUAUCUUUUGAGGCGAUACUUCAAGUUCAUGUUAUUGGGCCAGCAUGUGAACAAACGCUGAGCAUCAACGGGCAAUGAGGAGAAAUGUGCUUUCCUGCUCCACACGAUAUUCACUCUAUGCCCGUUCUAAAGUAGGUCCAGCAAGACUAGAUCUUCAGACAUUGUCCUCCAAGAACUGCAACUGGUCAUA